rnacentral:tRNA from 1 species
GGCGCAGUGGCGGAAUGGCAUACGCGUAGGUCUCAAAAACCUAUGGUAGGUAACUACCGUGUGGGUUCAACUCCCACCUGCGCCA